UUCGUGCCCUUCCAGGGAGAGAGUGAGGUGUCCCUCAACCUCAACUACCUGUUACACUCGUUCUUCCUUCUUUCCAACGCUCUCUGUCGCGCUAACUCGCUCACCCGAGAUUCUUUUUCUUUUCUACCUGUCCCCGAAGAAACUAUCUCAAUUGUAAAUUAAACAUUUCAAUCCACGAAAUGCGGCUUAUCUUGUCAUCCUCUGGCGAGCGAAAUCGAACAUCAACACGUCUGAAAAUUCGCCGAAAAGUUGUCUGCGUCACGCAUUAAAGACCCGAAGAGAAAGAAGAUACAGGCCUCAUUCUGAAGAUACUUUUCCCGUGGGAGCGCGCUUAUGCAACUUGAGAGCAAGCUCAACGCAAAAUGGAUCUGUGUUUAUUUGUUUUCAAGCUGGUUGUCGCCAAGUAUCGCGUGGAUACUCAGAUACUGGGAUACUUGAUUUUGGUUUGCCUAAUCAAUUGCUGUGGCGGCACAGCAUCAAAGCAAAUAAAACCCAAUGAAAUAAAUACAAAAUUCUAAAUUACAGAUUGUAGAGAGUAUAUAUAAACCUUAACCCUAUAAAAAAAAAAAAAAAACUUGAAGAAAAUACGCUUAAAUAUGCAAAAAAGUGUUUGGAAUAUCAAGAAUGCUUGUUGACAAGUCAGCUUUUUGCUGGCAUUUACAUAAAUAUCGUAUUGCAAUCGGUUUAAUUAAAGAAACUCUGAUAUGA